rnacentral:misc_RNA from 1 species
UGGUUCUGGCAUCGAUGAAGAACGCAGCGAAAUGCGAUAAGUAAUGUGAAUUGCAGAAUUCAGUGAAUCAUCGAAUCUUUGAACGCACAUUGCACCUACCAGUAUUCUGGUAGGUAUGCCUGUUCGAGCGUCAUUUCAACCCUCAAGCCCCGCUUGGUGUUGGGGCGCUGCGCCUCGCGCGCAGGCCCUCAAGAGCAGUGGCGGGCCUCCUGUGAUCCCGGGCGUAGUAAGUCUUACCGCUCUGGAGGGCAGGGGCUACCGGCCGUUAAACGCACACAUACCAAGGUUGACCUCGGAUCAGGUAGGAAUACCCGCUGA